rnacentral:rRNA from 1 species
GUCCACGCAGUAAACGAUGAAUACUAGCUGUAUGCGAUAUACUGUAUGUGGCAAAGCGAAAGCGUUAAGUAUUCCACCUGGGGAGUACGUUCGCAAGAAUGAAACUCAAAGGAAUUGACGGGGGCCCCGCACAAGCGGAGGAACAUGUGGUUUAAUUCGAUGAUACGCUAGGAACCUUACCCGGGCUUGAAAUGCAUCUGACCGAUCAGGAAACUGAUUUUCUAGCAAUAGCAGAUGUGUAGGUGCUGCAUGGUUGUCGU